UACGUAGGGGGCAAGCGUUGUUCGGAAUUACUGGGCGUAAAGGGCGCGUAGGCGGCCUGCUAAGUCGAACGUGAAAUCCCUGGGCUCAACCCAGGAACUGCGUCCGAUACUGGUUGGCUUGAAUCCGGGAGAGGGAUGUGGAAUUCCAGGUGUAGCGGUGAAAUGCGUAGAUAUCGAGAGGAACACCUGCGGCGAAGGCGGGUUGCUGGGCUGACACUGACGCUGAGGCGCGAAAGCUAGGGGAGCGAACGGG
rnacentral:rRNA from 1 species